rnacentral:lncRNA from 1 species
UGGGGACACCAAUGAGCCAGCAUCACUUUGGCUUGACUACUAGUCCACAUUUCUUGUGUCGUCCAGUUUUUAUUUUUUAUUUCUCUAGUUAUUUAUUUAAGUCCAGUUCAAGUAAUGUUGAGUCAAGUCAGUGUCGGUCCAGCCUAAAUAGUAUUGAGUCCAUGUUAUAAUAAAGCCCACUUCCAAAAUAAACCAGUCAAAGAACUACCAGCCGGUUCGCUCAUCAAGACUGGUUCCUUCACAGCGGUUCACCUUGGCUUCCCCGGUUCCUUCACAAAAAAAAAAACCAAUCAGCGGUUCACUCAUCAAGACCGGUUCUGUUACAAAACAAAAAAAAAAACCCGUCAGCUCCUCUGUUUUGUUCUACCGCACCGUACUCAUCUUCUCCCCAGCCGGUUCCAAGGAGGUUUUCUUCCCAACCAAGUGAAGCUCCAAGUCAUCUUCCCCAGCCGGCGAGUCAUCUUCCCCAGCCGGCGAGUCAUCUUUCCCAGCCGACGAGUCAACUUCCUCCCAGCCGAUGAAGUCAUCCUCCCAGCCGACGAGUUAUCUUCCAGCUCCAGCCGAAGAAGACGAAGAGAAGGAAAAAACCGAAGGUAACCCAUCCGGUUCCUGCCGUUGCAAAUGGAGAAGCCACCAGAUCCAACGCUGGAGUCUUCCACCGCUCUGUUUCAAGACAAUCUCAGCCGGUUCCCACAGAAUUUUGGAUCUUAAACGCUGCCGAGAAGAGGCCAUCCCGAUCCAUUUCAACGCUUCAUUCUCCAUCACGAAUCUCCCCUGUUUCUACGAUUCCUUGGAAUGUUUAUUGCCCAUCAAUGCAUCAAUGUAUCAGCCGGUUUAUGAGUCCCUUUAUUCCUUAUUUAUCAUGUAAUUGGUUGCUUGCCUAUAAAAGGGGUUAUCUCGUUGUGUAAAAGGGGAGGGAUGAAAAACAAUGAAUUGAAGGGAAGCUAUUUGAUGUUUUGCUUGAAAGAGUGUGGUGUCCAAUUCCAAGAAUCUUCCUUCCUUCCUUCUCUAAAGUCCUUCUCUUCUAAGUGACGCGGCGUUCCCCCCCCCCCCGACUUCCACAACUUCCUCUAGCGCAGGCGGCGCUCAUCUUCCGGCUUCCCAUUCACUCUUCCGGACUCCUUCCCGAUCCGACGAAUCUUCGUCCGGAUUAUUUAUCCUUGGAAUAGAUUAUUGUGUUUUGUUUUUUUUUUCCAAACAUCCUGCUACCUCAAUUAACCCAGGACUUCUGUUCCAGAUCUUGUCGGUUUCCUCCAUCCGUCUCAACGAAGGACGACCCGUCAGCGAAUCAGGACCCUGGACUUGCCUCCCUCUUCCAGGAUUUUUCUCGAGCAUCGCGUCCGUGUGAUCCUUCUACUACAAUUCUGAGUAAGUCGUUAUUGGAUUCAGUUAAGUUCCCAAAUUUUUAUACUUAACAGCAGGAAAUUAAAAGUAGAACAACGUGCCCUAAUUAUGUGUUGAUUUCCUAAUCAACAACGAUCCUUCUUCUAAAUUUAUUAUAGGAACUGAUCUAUUGUCGGUAGUUUCUUACAGUAAAUUCGAUUUUAAUAUAAUCAUCUGAUAGCUGUUAGAUUUGAGUUGGCUAAUAGUUUAUGAAUUGGGUUGCUGAAAUCUAAUUAUAUAAAAAAAAAGAAUUAGUU